AGAGUUUGAUCCUGGCUCAGGACGAACGCUGGCGGCGUGCUUAACACAUGCAAGUCGAACGGUGAACCUGCUUCGGUGGGGGAUUAGUGGCGAACGGGUGAGUAACACGUGGGCAACCUGCCCCUGGCUCUGGGAUAACUCCAAGAAAUUGGGGCUAAUACCGGAUGUGACCGCUGACCGCAUGGUCUGGUGGUGGAAAGAUUUAUCGGCUGGGGAUGGGCCCGCGGCCUAUCAGCUUGUUGGUGGGGUAGUGGCCUACCAAGGCGACGACGGGUAGCCGGCCUGAGAGGGUGACCGGCCACACUGGGACUGAGACACGGCCCAGACUCCUACGGGAGGCAGCAGUGGGGAAUAUUGCGCAAUGGGCGAAAGCCUGACGCAGCGACGCCGCGUGGGGGAUGACGGCCUUCGGGUUGUAAACCUCUUUCAGCAGGGACGAAGCGGAAGUGACGGUACCUGCAGAAGAAGCACCGGCCAACUACGUGCCAGCAGCCGCGGUAAUACGUAGGGUGCAAGCGUUGUCCGGAAUUAUUGGGCGUAAAGAGCUCGUAGGCGGUCUGUCGCGUCGGCUGUGAAAUCCCGAGGCUCAACCUCGGGUCUGCAGUCGAUACGGGCAAACUAGAGUGUUGCAGGGGAGACUGGAAUUCCUGGUGUAGCGGUGAAAUGCGCAGAUAUCAGGAGGAACACCGGUGGCGAAGGCGGGUCUCUGGGCAACAACUGACGCUGAGGCGCGAAAGCGUGGGGAGCGAACAGGAUUAGAUACCCCGGUAGUCC
rnacentral:rRNA from 1 species